AAAGAGUAUUUCAAGAUUACAUUUUCAUAUAUGCUUCAUCUUUCUAACUGAUUCAUGCAUAAUAAAAUCUGGUGGCCAAGUGGCACUUAUGGUUCAGUACUAAGAUGGUACAAUUUUCAUCAGAAGUUAAUUUUUAUUUCCCUACCUCUCCUAUCCCUCUUCCUCUACUCAAUUUUCUGAUAGGGUAUUAUUGGUUAAGCAGUUGAAAUCGAAGGUUGGUGAAGUGAUGUCCUCUCCUGCCAUCACUCUGUCACCUGACAAGACAGUUUUAGAUGCUGCAGCUUUGAUGCUUAAGAUGAAGAUCCAUAGGGUACCAAUCGUAAAUGAAAAACAGCAAGUUGUAGGAAUGGUUUCUCGAACAGACAUAUUCCAGGCACUGGAAACCCAGGUGGUAUAAGCUCUCUGCUUCAUAAGAAUGCUUAUCUGCUGUGUAAAUAUGAAAAUAAGUGUAAAUAUGAAAAAUAAGUUAAAGAAGCACAUAAAACAGGGCAGCUAUGACUUUGUGACUCCUAAUUGCAUAUUGUAUGAUAUAUUCUCUUCAUUUCUUUGUG